UACGUAGGGGGCAAGCGUUGUCCGGAUUUAUUGGGCUUAAAGGGUGCGUAGGCGGCUUUAUAAGUCAGUGCUGAAAUAUCCCGGCUUAACCGGGAGGGUGGCAUUGAUACUGUAGAGCUUGAGUACAGUUGAGGUUGGCGGAAUUGACGGUGUAGCGGUGAAAUGCUUAGAUAUCGUCAAGAACACCGAUAGUGAAGUCAGCUAACUAAGCUUUAACUGACGCUGAGGCACGAAAGUGUGGGGAGCAAACAGG
rnacentral:rRNA from 1 species